rnacentral:misc_RNA from 1 species
UAAAGUGCGAUAUGUAGUGCGAUUUGCAUGAAUCUGUGAGUCAUCUAAUUUUUGAACGCAACUUGCGCCAGUAAUAGGCAUGUUUGUUCGAGGGCCGAUAUAUCAAACGGUAAUCGUGAUUUGACCUCUGUCUAAUUUGACUGGGUUGAAACAGAGUCAGUAAGUGGCAAUGGUCAUGGUUUGGUCGAGUGCUAAGCAUUCUUGACUCAACCCAUCCAUCCACCCUAAUCUCAUCAUUCUCUGGCCUCGAAUCAAGCAAGAUUACCCGCUGAACUUAA